AACGCGAAGAACCUUACCAGGGCUUGACAUGCACUGGAAUGUCGUAGAAAUACGGCAGCCCUUCGGGGCCAGUGCACAGGUGCUGCAUGGCUGUCGUCAGCUCGUGUUGUGAAAUGUUGGGUUAAGUCCCGCAACGAGCGCAACCCUUAUCCUUUGUUGCCAGCGGUCCGGCCGGGAACUCAAAGGAGACUGCCAGUGAUAAACUGGAGGAAGGUGGGGAUGACGUCAAGUCAUCAUGGCCCUUACGACCAGGGCUACACACGUGCUACAAUGGCGCGUACAAAGAGAAGCGACCUCGCGAGAGCAAGCGGACCUCAUAAAGUGCGUCGUAGUCCGGAUUGGAGUCUGCAACUCGACUCCAUGAAGUCGGAAUCGCUAGUAAUCGUGGAUCAGAAUGCCACGGUGAAUACGUUCCCGGGCCUUGUACACACCG
rnacentral:rRNA from 1 species